UAAACAUAUUUAUUUUUCAAGAUAAAUGAAAUAUAGGUCUCAAAGCCUUUGCCAAGGCUAUGUAUGCAUCACUGUUUAAAACCAGUUGAUUGAUAACAGUUCUUGCAAUCAGUACAAGGAAUUCUGUUGGAAAUUUUCUGGAAAAUACAUGUACACAGCAAACCUGUUACAGCCAAGUGCAUGAUAAGGGGUACUACUUUUUAAUGAAAUUAGAGAGUAAACAGCUAAGAGGCCUUGAUUCUUGAUUUUAUUUCUUUAUUCUUUAAUGGGAAAAAUAAGCAGAUGGUAUGUAAGCCAGCAAUAUAUUAGCUGGUCACUUUUUGUAGUUACAGAAUAGGUUUAACACUGCCUUAAAUGAUCGCUCAUUGUAAAUCUGAACCACAUUUUCAUUACUUAUGUUCUCCUGAAAUUUUUCAUCUCCCCUCUCACCUGAUCAGCUAUCAGAUUAUACUAAUGCUGCUAUUCAAGCCUUGAAGCUGCAAAAAGUGUCCCAUCCUAAUUACACAUCCCCAGCUGAGGUCCCUUGGUAAUAGCUCUCUCCUAGAGAAAAGAGAUGGUCCUGAAACCUGAAGGCUUCCCCUGUAUUAGUCAUGCAGAAGCCACCAAAGCAGGGGCUGGUGCUGGAGCGUGUUGGAGCUGCUGCAGAGGAUCCUGUUGACUUGAAUGGACAUUGGAGGGGAUCCCAGAGCACAGGCUCUAGUGAGGUCCAUAUCCCUCCCUGAACAAACCUUGGCUUCACCAGGACUGAUACGAGGGACCCCAUGGAUGGCACACACCAAAGUGUGUGUGUGGCUGUGGAGGGAAGCUGAGGGUGGUGAGAGUGGGUCUGUUCCCAACCAGGACGGAGACAACAUCUUGUUAGGAACUGCACAAUGAAACCUGCUGAUUUAUGGACAAGCAGUACUUGUUCUGGCAAAAAAUAGCUUCCAAUUAGCCUGAAAACAGACUGUUCUGGGUGGAUUUGCAGACUCUUAUUUAUUGGCAAACUUCAUUUUAAUAUAAUCAGCCGCUUGACAGGCAGGUUAGGUAAUGAUCCUUGAUGUGAGCACUAACGGAUUUGAACACUAAGCACAGCCUUUAGUGCCCAGAGCCCUCUGCCAGCAGCUGAAAUGCAUUUGAUAUCAAAAUGCCAUGGGAACCCAGGAAAACCCUUGCCAGAGCACCUUGCUGAGUAAAACACUGCCUUCAAUAAUUCACAAUGUCUGUUCAGUAAGCUGGUGUGUAUGUGCAGGGAGGGGGGUAAUAAAACAUCUCAGACCUGGCCUGCCAGGAUAAUUCAGUGGCUAGUUAAAUCUCUCAGCACUAUUAAUCAAUAAAGUGGUUCACAGCAUAAAUAAAUCCAGAAUGUAAUAUGACAGGGCUGUGGAAGCACAUGGAAAGCAACUCUCCCUCUCCUGUGUGUGAUGCUAAGUGCCAUACUGCUCCAGCAGUUAUUUGAAUAACCUCAAUGCUCUAAUACUUCAAACACUCAGACCUCCCACCAGUGUUAUCCCAUGUUUCAAUGUCACCAUGUGUUUUAAACUCUGCUCUGUGUAUGAUGCAGGGAGCUGGCUGUGAAAGUUAGGGAGCAGAUUGCAGACUCCAUCACUUAAUUCCGUCUCUUAUUUUGCUGAUCAAGAGCUGAUGUUGUGAGUGGAGGAUCACUCCUUUCCUAAGAAUAAAGCAUUUUACCAGUGCUGGAAUGAUGUUUCUGCAGGUCCCUGGUGAGGUAUGAACAAAUACUCUUGACGCAACUUACACUGCUGCUGUAAAUCUGCAGAUGUUUUCAGAGCUCCAAAGUAAUCUACUCCUUCAGCCUCUGUAGGAAUGCAACACAACAAGGCAGUGUUUAAAACUUGUUUCUCCUGGUGAAUUUGGUGCAAUUUUACUGUAAUCUCUAUCUUAUCCUUACUGUAACUGAACCAGAAUCCAGUCUGCUAGCAGACAACAGAAACCAGUAUGAUUAAACAAUGUAAUUUUAAUUUUCCAUUAAAUUCAGCCUGUAGCUUCCGUUCUAUUCAUUAAUGCCAGGCUAAUAUUUACUUUUAUAAUUUACAGAUAUUGUAGACCUUCCACAUACUUCUUCCACCAAACUGAUCUCCAGCCAAGCACUGCAUAUUCAGUCCCUACACUCCUCCCUGAUGAAUAAGGCAAAAAAUCCAGCUUUCAGGUUAGUGUUGGCUCUGCCCAGAUACUGGCGAUUAUGCUCAGCCAUUCGGAUGUUUGUGGGAAGAGGAUGUGUAACUGCCUCAACAUGUCUGAAUUUGCAUCAGAUUUUGAAUCCACAUGAAUACAGAGUCUGCUUUUCAUCCAGAUGUACUCUUAAACUCUGAUCUUUCCUCCUCUGCUACUUUGUCCAUCUUCUUUGGCUGUGAAGUAUCCAGAAUAAAUUUCAAGCACACAUUUCUGUGAAGAAAAUAAUUUCUCAGCAGCAGCACACCUACAACUGAGCUACAGCACAUGUUAAAGCUCAUCUUCAGGCUUCAGUGCUCAUUUCACACAAAGAGGAGAUGUGGGACCAAUUAUAAGGCUCAGCCCACGUGCAGUAACGUGUUCAAUCACAUCUUGCUCGUGUGCCCAAGCCUCACAGUCCAGCACUUCCUCCAGAAAUAUUGAUUUGCUGUUCUGGCCCUUAGUGCUUGUGUCCCUGGGGCAGCUGCUGCAAUGAAAAGAUUACACAGGAAGGCUUUGGAGAAUCCUCCUGCAUUGAGCAGAACUUUGAUUUCAAAACAGAGAUCUACAGCAAGGGAAAUAACGUGUUCCUUUGUGAUUGUAUCUGGGCAAGGAUUCCCCCACGCCUUUCAGACACAGUGGUUCAGCUUCAUGGGUGGCUGCUGGGAGGCUUCUGAUCUCUCACUGGGCACUGUGGGGAGCACUGGGCUGGAGCUGCUGAACUAGAAAAGCAAAGACAAGAUCUUGGGAAAGAUGGCUGGCUGGCCCACAGCAGAUGCUUGUAUUAAGAAGCUGAAACUGUGUAGAAAGGCAUCACAAAAAGAUGGAAAUUUCCUAAUGGAAAUCUUUAUUUUGUCUUUAUUAUAAAUCUAUACUCUGAGUUUACUUCCAUAAUUCCCUCAGGCUUCUGCAGCUUUAACCAAUUCCCCAGCUCAGAGAUAAUGACAUUGUGCCUCUGCAGCCAAGAGGAAAGGAUGGCACUCUUGGAUUACAGGAGGUAGAAACAGCCAUAUUUAUGACUCCUGGUUAAAACAUGGUAUUGGAAAAGAGUAUUACUUGAGUCAUCAGGAUAUCACUUGACCAUCUAUUUCCUUUACAUUUAAAUUAGAAAAAAGAAUAAAGUUGCAUUAAAUUAAAAAGAGAGUUUCAAGACAAUAUUCCAAGGCUUCCCACAGUGGGUGUAUUGUAUGCUUAUAUUAUUCUCCACCCAUUGUAAAUCUCAGCAGUAGAUCUUCCCCCACUGAUGUUUUGCAUUAGGAAAUUGAACUCUCUACUCUGUCCCCUCAAAGAUUAAUGCUUCCAUCUGAGGAAGUAGUUGAAUAUGUGCUGGCAGUAGUGCUUUCAUGAUUAGCAAAUGGGAGACUGUGGGAGGAGAACAGAAUUUGCAUGUGUUGGAUGUUGGCCUAAACAUACUCUCACUGAAUUCUGGACAUCAGGGAAGAAUUGAUACAGCACAAGCUUUUUGUCAGCAAACCACAGGGAAGAAAAAAAAAAACCGAAAAAAAAAAAAGGUAAAAAAAAAAGUGAAGAAUCCUACAUUUAAUUAAAAAAGCUUUUCAGUCCUCUUUGUUCCAAAAUGAACAAAUGUAUCUGCAGAGUGCACUCCAAACAUCUCAAACUCACAUUUGCUGCCAAGGGGCAUUUUAUUAGUGGUUCUAGGGGAAGUUUCUAAAUUUUUGUAGAAGUUCAAAAUAUUUUCACCAACCUAUUUUUUUGAAGACACAUGAUUGAAAGAUGUUUAAUUACAAAUGUUAAACUGAUCAUUCAAAGUAAGUGUGAUGCCUCAUGUGCUCAUGGCAUCCAGUACUACUUGGUCCUGAUCCUAGUAGACUUUUUUUCUGCUAUCUUGAAGUCCCUUUUACUCACUAGAAAGCUACUCAGUGAGCCUGCUUAAAAAUAAAACAAAUUUGCCUAAAACAAAACCAAAAUAUCAGCAGAGGGGAGGUUGACUUUGCCACCUGACUCUGUAAACAGCUGCAUGCAAAGAGCUACCUUAGGACCCAUGUUUAGUCAAAUCUAACUUAUGUUUAACUUUAUUUAUUUAUUUUUUUCACAACCACCAGCAUGUGAAGGAACAAAUAAGCACACUCAGUACAGAACAAAGGACAUUCAUCACUGGGAUAUUUUGGCCUCUAAUUGAACAGCAGUCAUAUCAACUUCCUCCUUCACCCAGGACUGCGUCUCUUUGCUGUGCUGGGGAAGGAAAGGCAGAAACACCUGUGGGCACUGGAGAUUUUACCACAGUUCUUGCAAGAGUGCACUUGCUAACCAUGGUGCUCUGGCUGCUUUCCAGCCAUGGCAGAUACAAGAUUUUGCCUGCCUAGAAAUCAUCUAGGUAGUUUCAAAACAUUGUCUUCACUUCCUGCCUUAAACUUUUGCAACUAUUACCUUCUGCCACUUAGAGACAGCGGCUUUUAACAAGGGGUGAAAUUAAUUCCCAAGUCUGUAAUUUGCUAAACACCUUUUUUUUUUUUGAAAGCUUGAUGAUGUUUGACAUUUUUACUGAUUUCUGCAUUAGUUUUUAAAUUAAACCCUUAUGAUCAUUGACAAAGGCCUGAAAUUGUAGAUAUGGAUGACACAAAAGUGUGAAAGAAA